AGCAGUCGCCGCGGGAAUACAGAGGGUGCGAGCGUUAAUCGGAUUUACUGGGCGUAAAGCGUGCGUAGGCGGCUUUUUAAGUCGGAUGUGAAAUCCCUGAGCUUAACUUAGGAAUUGCAUUCGAUACUGGGAAGCUAGAGUAUUGGAGAGGAUGGUAGAAUUCCAGGUGUAGCGGUGAAAUGCGUAGAGAUCUGGAGGAAUACCGAUGGCGAAGGCAGCCAUCUGGCCUAAUACUGACGCUGAGGUACGAAAGCAUGGGGAGCAAACAGGAUUAGAUACCCCCGUAGUCCCUGUCUCUUAUAC
rnacentral:rRNA from 1 species